GGGCCGUUAGCUCAGUUGGUAGAGCAGGAGACUCUUAAUCUCAAGGUCGAAGGUUCGAAUCCUUCACGGCCCA
rnacentral:tRNA from 1 species